rfam:Ictidomys tridecemlineatus contig015649, whole genome shotgun sequence.
UGGGUUGUAGCUCAGUGGUAGAGUGCUUGCCUAGCAUGUAUGAGACAUUGAGUUCAAUCCUCAGCACCACAU